CAAUAGCGUAUAUUAAAGUUGUUGCAGUUAAAAAGCUCGUAGUUGAAUUUUUGCUUGCCGCCGAUGUCGGAACUUCCGUACGUUCGGCGGCGUGCAUCCUUGGGUGGAACCUGUGUGGCAUUAGGUUGUCGUGCAGGGGAUGCUCAUCGUUUACUGUGAAAAAAUUAGAGUGUUCAAAGCAGGCUUACGCCGUUGAAUAUAUUAGCAUGGAAUAAUAAGAUAGGACCUUGGUACUAUUUUGUUGGUUUGCGCACCGAGGUAAUGAUUAACAGGGACAGUUGGGGGUAUUCGUAUUCCAUUGUCAGAGGUGAAAUUCUUGGAUUUCUGGAAGGCGAACUACUGCGAAAGCAUUUACCAAGGAUGUUUUCAUUAA
rnacentral:rRNA from 1 species